GGCAUGGUGGCUCAGUGGUUAGAGCGCCUGCCUCAUGAAAGGAGGUCCUGGGUUCAAUCCCCGGCCGAGUCA
rnacentral:tRNA from 1 species